rnacentral:tmRNA from 1 species
GGGGGCGUAAAGGUUUCGACGGGGAUUUUGAAGCCCGGUAAGCGAGUAGAGGUGCGGAGCCUCUUUAAAAGCCGCAAUUUUUAAAUUAAACGCUAACGAAGAUUUAGCUUACGCUGCCUAACUAAGGCAGCCGUCUUACCCGGAAGGACCGCGAGCCGGGAUAAGGCGUCGAAUAGCGGUGAACGUCGGAAAUGGGUUUCCCGACACUCCGAUGUAUCAGGGAAUACCGACGGUGACCUCCUGUUUGCCGGGAUCGCCGAAGGGAAUUUUAUAGACAAACUACACUCGUAGAAAGCCGCGUGAAUAGAUUUUCGGACAGGAGUUCGACUCUCCUCGCCUCCACCA